AACGAACGCUGGCGGCAUGCCUAACACAUGCAAGUCGAACGAGACCUUCGGGUCUAGUGGCGCACGGGUGCGUAACGCGUGGGAACCUGCCCUUAGGUUCGGAAUAACUCCCCGAAAGGGGUGCUAAUACCGGAUAAUGUCUUCGGACCAAAGAUUUAUCGCCUUUGGAUGGGCCCGCGUUGGAUUAGCUAGUUGGUAGGGUAAAAGCCUACCAAGGCGACGAUCCAUAGCUGGUCUGAGAGGAUGAUCAGCCACACUGGGACUGAGACACGGCCCAGACUCCUACGGGAGGCAGCAGUGGGGAAUAUUGGACAAUGGGCGAAAGCAGGAUCCAGCAAUGCCGCGUGAGUGAUGAAGGCAUUAGGGUUGUAAAGCUCUUUUACCCGGGAUGAUAAUGACAGUACCGGAAGAAUAAGCGCCGGCUAACUCCG
rnacentral:rRNA from 1 species